rnacentral:lncRNA from 1 species
AUCGCCCAGUCGCUCGAUGGGGCACGCCGGCGGCCUACCUCCGUGUGUCACCUGCCCGCCUCUCAGCAGCAAGGAACGGAGCUUCAGCACCUCUUCAGUAAUGAUGAUGAAACUGGUAUUAACUGAAUGGCAUUUAUGGAUUUUUAACUCUAAUUCACAGUAAGCCAGAAAGCCAUAUGUUCAAUCCAACCAAAAAUCAUUCUGUUUUGCUGCGUGUCUCAUCCGACUGUGAGAAGUUUCAAGAUCCCUGUUUGUACAAAGAGGAAUAUAAGUGUUACUUGCCGGAGGAGCACAGCUGAAGCAGAAAGCGAAGACGUCUUAAUUUAUCCUUAAAGAUAUAUGAUAGAAUUAUUUAUUUAGGUAGAGUAAAGAGAUAUAUAUAUUUUUUUGGUGGUGAUGAAAAUGGCUCCGCAGAAUGCCGACGCAGAAUCUAUGCAAGUUCAGGAGCUCCCGGUGCCCCUGCCAGACCUACAGAAGCCGGGGAGGGCGGAGGCGGAGACGCGGGACGAGACCGUCAGUGAGGGCUCCAUCGACCGCAUCCCCGUGCGCCUGUGGGUGAUGCACGGGGCCGUGAUGUUCGGCAGGGAGUUCUGUUAUGCCAUGGAGACGGCGCUGGUCACGCCAGUCCUGUUACAGAUCGGCCUCCCGGAGCAGUACUACAGCCUCACCUGGUUCCUGAGCCCCAUCCUCGGCCUCAUCUUCACGCCUCUCAUUGGCUCCGCGAGUGACCGCUGCACCCUGAGCUGGGGCCGCCGGCGGCCUUUCAUCCUGGCGCUCUGCGUGGGCGUGCUCUUUGGAGUGGCGCUGUUCCUCAACGGCUCUGCCAUCGGCCUGGCCCUUGGCGAUGUCCCCUCCCGGCAGCCCAUCGGCAUCGUCCUCACUGUGCUGGGGGUGGUGGUCCUGGAUUUCAGCGCUGAUGCCACAGAGGGGCCCAUCCGUGCGUACCUGCUGGACGUGGUGGACAGCGAGGAGCAGGACAUGGCCCUCAACAUCCACGCCUUCUCUGCUGGCCUCGGCGGGGCCAUCGGCUACGUGCUGGGUGGGCUGGACUGGACCCAGACCUUCCUGGGCUCCUGGUUCCGGACACAGAACCAGGUGCUGUUCUUCUUCGCGGCCAUCAUCUUCACGGUGUCUGUGGCCCUGCACCUGUCCAGCAUCGAGGAGGAGCAGUACAGCCCCCAGCAGGAGCGUGGCGGGGACCCGGCUGGCACACCAGCCCCCGGCCCCCGCACCUGCGUGCUGGACGGCGGUGCCCUGUUCCCGGACGAGGUGCAGUCAGAGCAUGAGCUGGCCCUGGACUUCCUGGACGAGGGCCUGGUGCGGAGCAAGAGCGAUUCGGUGUUGCACGUGCCUGAGGCUGCACUGGGCCUGGAGCCCGAGCUCUUCCUGCAGGACGUCGAGCCCUCCAUCUUCCACGACGUCUCCUGCCCUGGCACCCCCCGCAGCAUCGGCCAGGAGCACGCCCCCACCCGGCCACCCCGCCGGCCCCUGCCACUCCGCGCACCCACCAGCGAGGAUGAGACCCUGCUGGAGGAGCCCCUGAGCGCAGCCAGGCUCCCGAACGGGGACAGCGCGGGGCUACAGGACGGCCCGGGCACCUGCAUCUACAGCCGGGCCGCCCUGAAGGCCCCCGCCACAGCAGGCCCCGCCCGCCGGCGCCGGCACAUGUUCCGCCGGCAGGCCUCCAGCACCUUCUCCUACUACGGCAAGAUCGGCUCCCACCACUACCGCCACCGGCGCGCCAAUGCCGUGGUGCUCAUCAAGCCCUCGCGCAGCAUGAGUGACCUCUACGACCUGCAGGCGCGGCCGCGGCAGCACCGCCGCCGCCACCAGAGCGGGGCCACCACGUCCAGCGGGGACUCGGAGAGCGAGGAGGGCGAGGGCGAGACCACCGUGCGGCUGCUCUGGCUGUCCAUGCUGAAGAUGCCCCCCGAGCUGGUGCGCCUCUGCCUCUGCCACCUGCUCACCUGGUUCUCCGUCAUCGCCGAGGCCGUGUUCUACACCGACUUCAUGGGCCAGGUCAUCUUCGAGGGGGACCCCAAGGCUCCAUCCAACUCAACGGCGUGGCAGGCCUACAGCGCUGGUGUGAAGAUGGGCUGCUGGGGCCUAGUCAUCUACGCAGCCACUGGUGCCACCUGCUCAGCCCUGCUACAGAAGUACCUGGACAACUACGACCUGAGCGUCAGGGUCAUCUACGUGCUGGGCACGCUGGGCUUCUCCGUCGGCACGGCCGUGAUGGCCAUGUUCGCCAACGUCUACGUGGCCAUGAUCAUGAUCAGCACCAUGGGCGUCGUCUCCAUGAGCAUCUCCUACUGCCCCUACGCCCUGCUCGGGCAGUACCACGACAUCAGAGAGGUGGGCGGGCGGGCGCCGGAGGGCAGGCCCAGGCCACGAGGCCGCCGGCUGUGGGCGGCUCUGCGGCUCUCACCAGCGCUUUCUGCGUGGAGCAUUCUUGCCCACGUCUUCCCUUGCACUCACGCCCUCGCCUGUGGUCUGCCUGGGACAGAGAGAGUGCGUGUGUGUGUGGUCUAAGGUCGAUCGGAGCUUUACGCUCCCCCAAGUAAGGAUGGUCACGUGACCAGUGUCCUGUCCCCCUCCCCCCACGCUGCCGAGCAUGGACGUGGGUGGGGGUCUGGCUGGGGGUGUCUGUGUUCCCGUCCAUGGCUCGCUCUGCCCGCUCACAGUGGCUGCACCGCCUUAGGUAGUUGCACAGGAAGAGCUGAAUGGAGCCUGGCGGUGUUAAGUUCUCCAGCUUGGUUUUUCAACAUUGUUAGUUGGUUACCUCGACCAUUUCCUUUUCAUUUAAAUGUUAGGAUCAGCUUCUGGACUUUCUUUUAAUUGGAAACACAUUGAUUAUAUGGAUCAAUUUGGAGAGAGUUAGAACUUUGUAGUAUUGAGCCUGUAUAAUAUUCCCUAAAUAUGGCAUAUUGUAUUAACUGUCGUAGCGUAUUUAUAGCUUCUCCCAGGCUUUCUGCACACACAGUCACAUCCUCCAUGGGUAAUGAGUUUCAUUUCUUCCUUUCUAAUUCUUAAGGGCUUUAUUUAUUUUCCUUGCCUUCCUGCAGUGGCUGGAACCCCCAGUACUGUGUUCAGUGUAAGUCGGGGGGACAGAGAGCCAGGCAAGCGAGAGUGUAGCCGCUGGGAGGAGGCCGCUCUGCCCCAGACCCUGGGGAUGCCGUGCGUGGCUUGCCCUGGGCCCUGCCCUCAUGCCCUGCCCGCCUCUCUUGCAGUAUGUGCAUCACAGCCCCGGGACCUCCAGGCGUGGCUUCGGCAUCGACUGCGCCAUCCUGUCCUGCCAGGUCUACAUCUCCCAGAUCCUGGUGGCCUCCGCCCUGGGCAGCGUGGUCGACGCGGUGGGGACCGUGCGUGUCAUCCCCAUGGUGGCCUCCGUGGGCUCUUUCCUGGGCUUCCUGACGGCCGCCUUCCUGGUCAUCUACCCAGAGGUGUCCGAAGAGGCCAAGGAAGAGCAGAAGGGCCUGUCUUCCCAGCCGCUGGGCGAAGGCGCGAGCGGCAGCGCCGAGAAGCCCACCGUGCUGAAGCUGUCCCGGAAGGAGGGCCCGCAGGGGCUCAUUGAGACCGAGUCGAUGGUCUGAGCCGCGCCGCGCACACAUUCCAGGGCGGCAGGGAGGUGGGGGUGGCACCCGGCAGGCCGGCUGCCGAGGCCUUGGCGGCCGCGCGCACCAGAGCCCUUCACCGACCCUGGUGGAGGCUCAGUAGCUGUAGGGUAGGUUUGCGCCAGUAGGUGAAAACACCUCAUUAAUUACUUUUUCCAUAAUUAAAAUGAAUCAUUUUUUUAAUCGAAAAAUGAUCUUUUAAUUUCAGCUGUCUCUUUUGUUCUGCAGGUAUAUUAUUCUGCACGUUUUAAAAUUAUAAACCAGAUUUACCAUAUAGAGAAGCAAUUUAGAAAAUAAGAUUUUUCCAUUUCUAAAGUUAUAAUUGAAAGCAAAAAAGUAUCUGAUGUAUUUUGCUAUAUCUUAUCUGAAUUCUUCAGAUAACGGUUGUGUAGUCAGUGACUAAAACACUUUUUAUCACAUUUUUUCCCUGUGGAUGCCUACAGGUAUUUGGACGUUCUGUCAGAUCUCGUCACAUUUUGUUGGUGCUGCAGCUAUUGGAGAGUAUUUUUCUCUAUGAUUAUUUUAGAAAAAAAAAUUUUUGUCUUUAUUUUCCAAAACUGUGGUUUUCUUGAAGAACACACCUCCUGCUUUCCCGUUUGACACGUUGUACCCGGGCGGCGGGCCGCAGUAGCUGUGACACCAAAGCUGGGAGGAGGCUGGGCCCCCGGGACACUGGUGGGGAGGCCCACCGGGCUGGGCCAGACCGCCCCCCAGGGGCAGCCCUGGAGCUGGCGGAGCCGUCCCUGCACCGCCCGCAUCUGUGCCCACACCCUGCCUGUCGUCUGGUCCGGAGCUCCGGGCGACGCUGUGACUCUUUCAUUGCACUUUGUUUUUGAACCAUCUGUGGGGGGACCCUGGGGGCAGAGCUCCUGGCGUGGCAUGCCACCCGUGCCCGCCGCCAGGCCCACACACCGGACACUCCACGCCCGUCUGACCUCUGCGCCUGCUCACCCCCGCCGGCCACUGGAGUCAGGACCGCCCCGCCGUGAAGAAAGCGAGUCUUGGACAGGGGGACGGUCCGCCCCCCAGGUCAGCUCAGCACGGCAUUUCUGGUUUCAGCGCAGAACCAAACUUGCACCCCGGGGAAGCACGGUCGUCACAUGCUGCAGCUGUUUGGAAAUGCUUUUCAAACCACAAUCUCUUUCUAAGUAAGCAGUUUCUGCUUCUCUUCUUUGGGACGGUCAGUCUAAGUCCGCUGAUCUCAGGAGAAAGAGGGAGCCCUCCCACACAUCACCCGGAUAAAGUGAGAGGACUCUAACUCUUCGCUGCCUCAAGUCAAUAUGUUUUUAAAUAAAGUACUUUAAAACGCAUGAGAGUCA